rnacentral:rRNA from 1 species
CCUACGGGAGGCAGCAGUGAGGAAUAUUGCGCAAUGGGCGAAAGCCUGACGCAGCGACGCCGCGUGAGGGAUGAAGGUCUUCGGAUCGUUAACCUCCGUCUGCAGGGAAGAACGGUCACUGUGCUAAUCAGCAGUGAAUUGACGGUACCUGCAAAGGAAGCACCGGCUAACUCCGUGCCAGCAGCCGCGGUAAUACGGAGGGUGCGAGCGUUAAUCGGAAUGACUGGGAGUAUAGCGCUCGUAGGCGGUAUGUCAAGUCAAGGGUGAAAUCCCCGCGCUCAACGUGGGAACUGCCUUUGAAACUGGCAAACUGGAGUGUGUGAGAGGAUAGUGGAAUUCCAGGUGUAGGAGUGAAAUCCGUAGAUAUCAGGAGGAACAUCAGUGGCGAAGGCGACUAUCUGGCACAUAACUGACGCUGAGGAGCGAAAGCGUGGGUAGCGAACAGGAUUAGAUACCCCAGUAGUC